GUUUAUAUAGCUCAGUGGCACAGUGCCUGCCUGGCAAGUGUGAGGUUCUGAGUUCAAUUCCCAGUAUAAAUA
rnacentral:tRNA from 1 species